CUUGUCUGUCCUAGAUCCCAUUGGGAGCACUGUAGAUUUGGAUCUACUCUGCUUUUUUGCUUGUAGGAGCACUGCAGGGCCUCCCCUAGGUGUGUGGCCUCAGCCACAGCUGAAACCCUCAGGAAGUUGACCUUUCAUUGUUUUGAGACAGGCUCUCACAGUUCCAUGAUGGCCUUGAACUCAGUAUGUAGUUGAGGAUGACUUUGAACUUCCGAUCUUCAUGCCUUCAUUUCCCAAAUGCAGGGAAUUACAGGACUGUGUUACCACACCCAGUUUACAUGGGGCUGGGAACUGAACCCAGGGCCUUGUGUAUGUUAAGCAUGUUCUCUACCAGCUGAGCUAUAUCACCAGCCCUAGAAAGUCAAGCUUUGGAAGGAAUAUCUCACUCUGGUGGGUGAGUAUCACUUUCUUCCAUUCUGUGCAAGAUCCAUUUAUUGACUAAUCAUAGGUGAUAGCCUGGUGUCCUAAAUUGAUGAUUCGGUCUACUUGAUAGUGAUGAUGACAAGGAUUCCUCCAGCAUCACUGAAAUCAGAAGUUUUUCUCUUUCUCUCCUAGCCCCUGGCAUGACCAGAAACAAGUCACACACUAUAGUGACAGCUGGCACUAAGUGGUGCCCGUUAUUUUCACGGAGAUCCAGUUUCAUGAACCCCACUUUCUAGAUGGGGAAACCGAGUCUGGAGAUAUUCUUCUCAUACUGUGUGGCACUCAGGGCAAGUCCGCAACAGCCCUACAGACCUAGGAUUCCAGCCAAGGAAGACUAAAGAACGGAAGGUCUUUGAACCACAUUCAGAAUGCCAUUGACAUUGUUUUAUCUAGAACAUCAAGAUUUGUAUUAAGAAAUCCUUAGGUAACAUUUAAUUACUGAGAGGUUAUAAGAUGUGGUGAAAUGAAAAGUGACAUCAGGACUUUGUCUCCACUAUCCAGGAGUAGAAUUUAUGUAGCAUCAGCAUCCUGGCCCUACAAAGGAAAACCAAGGAGACACAGGGAGGGAAAGGAGCCUCGGCUCUGGAGUCUGACUACCAGCUGAGACAUGGAAGUUCCAGCACAAUUAAGAGAAUUCACUGCGAAGUUUGCCUACAUAGAGACAUCAUUUCUUUU
rnacentral:lncRNA from 1 species